rnacentral:rRNA from 1 species
UACGAAGGGGGCUAGCGUUGUUCGGAAUUACUGGGCGUAAAGCGUGCGCAGGCGGUUUCUCAAGUCAGGGGUGAAAGCCCGGAGCUCAACUCCGGAAUUGCCCUUGAAACUGUGAAGCUCGAGUGCGGGAGAGGUGAGUGGAAUUCCCAGUGUAGAGGUGAAAUUCGUAGAUAUUGGGAAGAACACCGGUGGCGAAGGCGGCUCACUGGCCCGUUUCUGACGCUCAUGCACGACAGCGUGGGGAUCAAACAGG